rnacentral:lncRNA from 1 species
AUCCUCAUCAAUCUCACCAUUACCCUGAAUCACGGACCCGAGAUACUUGAAACUAUCCCUCUUACAUACAACCUGUGAUUCCAACUUCACUACAACCUCACUCUCCAGUCUCACGUCAUUAAACUUGCAUUCCAAAUAUUCUGUCUUGCUCCUACUCAACCUGAACCCUUUAGACUCAAGAGUUUGUCUCCAUACCUCUAAUUUAUCAUUCACACCCCC